CUCGUAGGCGGUUCGUCGCGUCCGGUGUGAAAGUCCAUCGCUUAACGGUGGAUCUGCGCCGGGUACGGGCGGGCUGGAGUGCGGUAGGGGAGACUGGAAUUCCCGGUGUAACGGUGGAAUGUGUAGAUAUCGGGAGGAACACCAAUGGCGAAGGCAGGUCUCUGGGCCGUUACUGACGCUGAGGAGCGAAAGCGUGGGGAGCGAACA
rnacentral:rRNA from 1 species